UUUAAGAAAAAAUGGACAAUGAUCCAUACUUCCGGGCCUGUUUGGUGGCUCAGGCGAGAGAGAGAAACUCCUGUAGUUUGAGAGUAUUUCGCAUAUUUCAGUGGGUCGCAACCAUCGCUUCCUAGCCUCCAGCACCAUCUGCGAAAUAUCU
rnacentral:sRNA from 1 species